rnacentral:rRNA from 1 species
CAAUAGCGUAUAUUAAAGUUGUUGCGGUUAAAAAGCUCGUAGUUGGAUUUCCGCUGAGAACGACCGGUCCGCCCUUUGGGUGUGUAUCUGGCUCUUUCUUGGCAUCUUCUUGGUGAACGUUGCUGCACUUGACUGUGUGGAGCGCUACCCAGGACUUUUACUUUGAGGAAAUUAGAGUGUUUCAAGCAGGCAUACGCCUUGAAUACAUUAGCAUGGAAUAAUAAGAUAGGACCUCGGUUCUAUUUUGUUGGUUUCUAGAGCUGAGGUAAUGAUUAAUAGGGAUAGUUGGGGGCAUUCGUAUUUAACUGUCAGAGGUGAAAUUCUUGGAUUUGUUAAGGACGGACUACUGCGAAAGCAUUUGCCAAGGAUGUUUUCAUUGA